AACCACAGCCAAGGGGACGGGCUUGGCAGAAUCAGCGGGGAAAGAAGACCCUGUUGAGCUUGACUCUAGUCUAGCACUGUG
ensembl:miRNA